GACUUGGGCAAUUGAGUGGCACAGCCCCCUCCUGUCAUCCUGGCAGGGUGACAUGCAUCACUUGAAGAACAGAAGGGAAACAACCUUCAAGCAUCUUCAUUUCACCUCGUGAACCAAGCCCCAUGAUCUGGACUCAUGUAAAGAGACCUUCUGACAUCAUCACAACUCUUUCUGAGAGGAGAAAUCAACAUCAAGGAAGCUAAAACUGAAUGUACUUUCUGGGCCUGUAUUGGGUUUAUAUGCCCAGAGUUUGGCAGCAGGGGUUCUGCAGGAAUGGCCUUUGUGAACAGAACCUGGAAACUACCCCAUGUCAAAUAAAAGCUGAUUCUAGCUGGUUCCAAAAGGGAUCCAAUCCACUGCUGGCCAGAGCUCAGCCAUUUGUGUCUCCUAAUGUGGAUGUACAGCAUGUCGCACAAGAUUUAUUAAUGCCAAAAUGAAUGUUUGGCUUUUUCUUAGCAACUCUUCAUUUAAAGGUCUCUAUCCCUGGGGCUCAUCUGCUUUGGAACCUGCAACAGGACCAAGUAUUUGUUCAUCUGUUUGAUUUCUCUUCUUGCAAUGAAAUCACAGUCUUUUACCACUGACAUGCCUGUGUAAUUAUCAGGUUAUGAAAACAGACUAUAGAUGAAAGUGAAAUGGAAGAAGAGGAAUAAAUGUGCUGGUUGCAUGAGUGCUAUCAACAAAUAACUGUUAGUCUUCAUUUUUACCAGAAAAAAGAAUUUGUAAAAGACUUCCCCAGUACAUGAAGGGUGUUCUUUAAAAAAAGUGGGCUACUUUUAGCACCUCCUAUAUCAGAAAUUCUAUUAUGUUUCUCUUCAUCAAGAAAUAAUACAAAGAUGAAUUUUCUCUCCAUUUCUGUUCUUUGUCUCACUACAUAUUGUUCAUAAAUAAAUGAUACAGUACAACCUUUCUAUAAGGCUUAAUCCCAAACAGGAUAUAAAGCAUGCAUAGACUGAGCAUACAGCAGCUUUGUAAGAAGUUGAGAACACUGAGAAGCAUUUGAGUACCUUGAAAACAGAGGGCAAACAUAUGAUCUCAGUCACAUUACUUGUGGUUGCAGCAGUUGAACAGAUCAAUAUGAUGGGAGAAGGUGUUUCACCAGAGGUGCAAUGAUAGAAGGAUCAGCAUGAUAGAAGGGUUCUAUAAAGGAAGGGAAGAAGAUUGCUUACCAUAUUGGAUUCCAGGUUCACAGGGGAAAGCUCCACACUUUGUCCAGAAAGAGAUCCUUCCCCAGUGCCACUCAGUCCUUAAAUGGAGUCUAAGAGAAUUGGAGCCAGGCUCCACAUAUUAUUCUUUCAGCUGUACCUACCUAAACACUGUUUCAGCAAUUCAGUACCAGGAGUAGAUUUAGUGAUCUAGACUUAAACACCAAUUUGCUGUCAUCUCAGUUCAUACUUUAUUAUUAGGCAUAGAUGCACAGCCAGAAGGAGCCUUUAGGUGGAACUCAGCAUGAUAUCAGGUUGAAGACUGGGAUAGAAAUGGAAAAGCCAACAAAAACUCCUAUUUCUCUGCAUUUUUCAGCUAAACUAGUAUCUUGUGGCCAGAAAAUCAAAGGUAAUAAUUAGAUAUGAAAGCAAAACACAAACAUCUGGAUUAAAUAUUGAUACACACGGACGACCAGUCAAACUUUCAUUACUUGUAAACAAGCCAAAAUUUUACCUUGGUGUUCAUAGUUGUGGAAAAGAAUUGUUGUGGCAAUGUGUUCUGUAUUAUAUAGAUAACUAAUGUGAUAUGGGUCAAGGAAUUGCUGUGUGUUAUAUUUAGCCAGUAUGAAGACAGAAGUUUUAGCAUUAAUCAUUGAUGUAAGAAGGGCCAGACUUCACAAUUGCAAAAGACAGACAUGAUUUGAGAUCUGUGCUCAUUUCUGGAUCUGUUUUCAACUUUGAGCUGCUUUAUUUCUUUCUCUUGUUUUGAGAUUUUCUCUUGGGGAUUGCCAUAAAUUAGAUAUCUUGAUGUUAAUUUUAGCCAAAGGACAUGAGAAAAGAUGUAAAUUAUCAUAAAAUAGGUAAUUAUCCUUCAUGCACUCCCUGAUUAUUCCUUUUUAAUUGAAUGGUCUAGCUAAAGGAAAGACCACAGUAAAUGGAAUAAAAAAAACCAUAAUACUCUGCACAUGUAUUGUACUUUGGAUCAUCAAAGUGUUACAUAAAUUAGCUAAUUAAUGUAAUAAAUUUUUGAAUGCUUUUUUUUCAGAUAGGACAUAUUUUAAGAAAGACAGUAUCAGCACACAGUUUGAUUAUCUAUGUCAGUGUUCAUUAAGUAAGAAAUAAUAGAAAAUGAUGCAAAGAUCUCAUGUAAAAUCAGGAUGGAAUAAACAUCCUUUGGGUUAAUUUUGGUUUUGUUUCAAUUUAGUUAACAAAAAUUUCCAAGCACACAAAUAUGAAUCCAGAGCACUCAUGCAUUUUAUGGAAAGUAGUAUGCAGGUUUGAUGUCAGCAUUUAGAACACAAAUUAUUCACUGUUAAUUAUGGUGUUUUAUUUUGUUGUUGUAUUUUUCGUUAGUUUUGCCUUUAUUAUUUGUUAAUUCUUUGUCUACAUAUCUUUUCUGUGAACUCAUUUCUUACUAGGGCCUCAAACCUGUUAUGGGUCAGGAUGUUUUUCUCUUCAUUUGGGACCACAAAGAGUUUGAGCUUCCUUAUGUGUACCUUUACACUGUAUCCUGAUAAUUACUGAUGGGGAAAAUUCUCUGUAGUACAGAACUACUGUGUCAUCAAUAGCAUGGACAACAUACUGUUGUUCUCAUAUAAAGUUCCUAUUUAUGUCAAUGAGAGUUUUGGGCUUAACUGAAUUAGCAUUCAGUCAGAAACACUGUAACCGUUUUCCUGUUCAUUAAAUUCCUCAGAAGUCCUGUGACUGUUCAGUAGUCUUCAUCAUAAUUUCUGUUCUUUGUCCCACAUUUAUAUUUUGUACUAUCAAAUUUACAAUAAAA